rnacentral:lncRNA from 10 species
AAAAGGUCGAAGACAAAUUAUGUGAGAUGAAGGACUUUCUCUUCUGGAAUAUAUGAUUUGAUUACAAAAGACCAACAUAUUUGUCUAAAAACAACAAGAAAAGCUGUUUGACUACAAAGACGGUGAGGAUUCGAGGGGCUCAGUGAAUGGAUAUAGAAAGAAGACUUUGAGAGAGCUCCAAUCCUGUUUCAGCUGCCAACUCAAAUGCUGCUUUCUACAUGAUAUACCUCCUGCAAUAAAGCUCUAAGAUGGAAGAAAGACUAUGAAAUAAAGAGGUGAUUUGCCUUGAUUUUUACAAAAAAUCUCCAAGGAAACCAAUUUUAUAUUUUACCAUGUGUACCCAUAAAAUUAGAAAAUAUUUAAUAAAUGAUAUUUUUAUGUAAUUCUACUAGGCAAGGAUGGAAUAAUGUCAUAGUUCUACUUGUGAGAGCGGGAAAUGGUGUAGACUUUUGAAAAUGGCCUUACCAACAAAAUGGGAAUGAAAUAAAUCUACCUCAUAAUAUGUUUGUUAAGUUUAAUUGAGAUAAUCCAUCUAAAAUAUCUGUUUCUGGCACAUGGUAAGUGUGCAAUAAUAUUGUUAGUCAUUAUUUUCAUUAAAAUGUGUUGUUUUCCUUAGAAUAUAUUCUAGAUGAUGGUUAUUAUUUUUAUGUGAAACAGUAUGUCUU